AGAGUUUGAUCCUGGCUCAGAACGUACGCUGGCGGCACGCCUAACACAUGCAAGUCGAACGAAGUAGCAAUACUUAGUGGCAGACGGGUGAGUAACAUGUAGGUAUCUGCCCUUUGGCCUGGAAUAACACGAGGAAACUUGUGCUAAUACCGGAUAAGUCUUUACGGAGAAAGCUUUAUGCACCAUUGGAUGAGCCUGCACUUGAUUAGUUUGUUGGUGGGGUAAUGGCCUACCAAGACUGUGAUCAAUAGCUGAUUUGAGAGGAUGAUCAGCCACAUUGGGACUGAGACACGGCCCAAACUCCUACGGGAGGCAGCAGUGGGGAAUCUUGCACAAUGGAGGAAACUCUGAUGCAGCGAUGCCGCGUGAGUGAAGAAGGCCCUUGGGUUGUAAAGCUCUUUCGUCGGGGAAGAAAAUGACUGUACCCGAAUAAGAAGGUCCGGCUAACUUCGUGCCAGCAGCCGCGGUAAUACGAAGGGACCUAGCGUAGUUCGGAAUUACUGGGCUUAAAGAGUUCGUAGGUGGUUGAAAAAGUUAGUGGUGAAAUCCCAGAGCUUAACUCUGGAACUGCCAUUAAAACUUUUCAGCUAGAGUAUGAUAGAGGAAAGCAGAAUUUCUAGUGUAGAGGUGAAAUUCGUAGAUAUUAGAAAGAAUACCAAUUGCGAAGGCAGCUUUCUGGAUCAUUACUGACACUGAGGAACGAAAGCAUGGGUAGCGAAGAGGAUUAGAUACCCUCGUAGUCCAUGCCGUAAACGAUGUGUGUUAGACGUUGGAAAUUUAUUUUCAGUGUCGCAGGGAAACCGAUAAACACACCGCCUGGGGAGUACGACCGCAAGGUUAAAACUCAAAUGAAUUGACGGGGACCCGCACAAGUAGUGGAGCAUGUGGUUUAAUUCGAAGAUACGCGCAGAACCUUACCAACACUUGACAUGUUCGUCGCGACUCUAAGAGAUUAGAGUUUUCGGUUCGGCCGGACGAAACACAGGUGCUGCAUGGCUGUCGUCAGCUCGUGUCGUGAGAUGUUGGGUUAAGUCCCGCAACGAGCGCAACCCUCACUUUUAGUUGCCAUCAUUAAGUUGGGCACUCUGAAAGAACUGCCAGUGAUAAGCUGGAGGAAGGUGGGGAUGACGUCAAGUCCUCAUGGCCCUUACGUGUUGGGCUACACACGUGCUACAAUGGUAUCUACAACAGGAAGCAAGACUGCGAAGUUAAGCAAAUCCCUAAAAGAUACCUCAGUUCGGAUUGCACUCUGCAACUCGAGUGCAUGAAGCUGGAAUUACUAGUAAUCGUGGAUCAGCGUGCCACGGUGAAUGCGUUCCCGGGUCUUGUACACACCGCCCGUCACACCAUGGGAGUUGGUUCUACCUUAAGGCAAGGUUUUAAACCCUUGACCACGGUAUAGUCAGCGACUGGGGUGAAGUCGUAACAAGGUAACC
rnacentral:rRNA from 2 species